rnacentral:lncRNA from 1 species
AGUGUGGAUUUGACGCUUUUGAGGACAUGCUUGAACAGCAAAUACUUGAUGGUCAGCUCCUUGAGGGCUUCAUAGAGCACACUGAACAGUAAUCCUCCACCAGCCCCGGCGAAAACAUCUACUGGAUUGGCCAUUUCUUAUAGUAAAGUCGAAACUGAACCCUGAAUCAGUGGACAAUUCAAUUGUAUAUAGGGUGAUCAGAAAAUAAGGGGACACUCUGGGAUUUGGAAACCAAUAGAACCCAUCGAGGAACCACUGAUCAGGAUUCAGGAAGAAACUGAAAAGCAAAAAAGCAAUAAGAAAACCAGUUUGCUCUUAAAGUUUGGUGUUUGACCAGAUGAAACCUAAGAAUCAAUGAGGAAGAGACUUGAAGCAAAAAACUAGCAGAGAACCCCAGUUGUCUCGAUCUUACAG